AGAGUUUGAUCAUGGCUCAGGAUGAACGCUAGCGGCAGGCUUAACACAUGCAAGUCGAGGGGCAGCACGGGUAGCAAUACCUGGUGGCGACCGGCGCAAGGGUGCGUAACGCGUGAGCAACAUGCCCGUAUCAGGGGAAUAAUCCAGGGAAACUUGGUCUAAUACCCCAUAGUAAAUAUUAAAGGCAUCUUUAAUAUUUUAAAGCUUUGGUGGAUACGGAUUGGCUCGCGUGACAUUAGCUAGAUGGUAAGGUAACGGCUUACCAUGGCUACGAUGUCUAGGGGUUCUGAGAGGAAGAUCCCCCACACUGGAACUGAGACACGGUCCAGACUCCUACGGGAGGCAGCAGUGAGGAAUAUUGGACAAUGGAUGGAAAUCUGAUCCAGCCAUGCCGCGUGCAGGAAGACGGCCCUAUGGGUUGUAAACUGCUUUUAUAUGGGAGCAAUAAGACCUACGUGUAGGUUGAUGAGAGUACCAUAUGAAUAAGCACCGGCUAACUCCGUGCCAGCAGCCGCGGUAAUACGGAGGGUGCAAGCGUUAUCCGGAUUUAUUGGGUUUAAAGGGUGCGUAGGCGGUUUGAUAAGUCAGCGGUGAAAUAUUUCAGCUUAACUGGAAGGGUGCCGUUGAUACUGUCAGGCUUGAAUUUAGUUGCUGUGGGUGGAAUGUGUGGUGUAGCGGUGAAAUGCAUAGAUAUCACACAGAAUAUCGAUUGCGAAGGCAGCUCACAAAGCUAAUAUUGACGCUGAUGCACGAAAGUGUGGGGAUCAAACAGGAUUAGAUACCCUGGUAGUCCACACUGUAAACGAUGAUAACUCGCUGUCGGCGAUACAUAGUCGGUGGCCAAGCGAAAGCGAUAAGUUAUCCACCUGGGGAGUACGACCGCAAGGUUGAAACUCAAAGGAAUUGACGG
rnacentral:rRNA from 1 species